rnacentral:rRNA from 1 species
UACGAAGGGGACUAGCGUUGCUCGGAAUCACUGGGCGUAAAGGGUGCGUAGGCGGGUCUUUAAGUCAGGGGUGAAAUCCUGGAGCUCAACUCCAGAACUGCCUUUGAUACUGAAGAUCUUGAGUUCGGGAGAGGUGAGUGGAACUGCGAGUGUAGAGGUGAAAUUCGUAGAUAUUCGCAAGAACACCAGUGGCGAAGGCGGCUCACUGGCCCGGUACUGACGCUGAGGUGCGAAAGCGUGGGGAGCAAACAGG